AUCCUGGUGCACGGGCUUUACGCAAUUCAGUGAAGGUUCGCCUGAGAAUGCGUU
rnacentral:snRNA from 1 species